rnacentral:rRNA from 1 species
GAUGAACGCUGGCGGCGUGCCUAAUACAUGCAAGUCGAGCGAACAGACGAGGAGCUUGCUCCUCUGACGUUAGCGGCGGACGGGUGAGUAACACGUGGAUAACCUACCUAUAAGACUGGGAUAAAUUUGGGAAACCGGAGCUAAUACCGGAUAAUAUAUUGAACCGCAUGGUUCAAUAGUGAAAGACGGUUUUGCUGUCACUUAUAGAUGGAUCCGCGCCGCAUUAGCUAGUUGGUAAGGUAACGGCUUACCAAGGCGACGAUGCGUAGCCGACCUGAGAGGGUGAUCAGCCACACUGGAACUGAGACACGGUCCAGACUCCUACGGGAGGCAGCAGUAGGGAAUCCUCCGCAAUGGGCGAAAGCCUGACGGAGCAACGCCGCGUGAGUGAUGAAGGUCUUCGGAUCGUAAAGCUCUGUUAUUAGGGAAGAACAAAUGUGUAAGUAACUAUGCACGUCUUGACGGUACCUAAACAGAAAGCCACGGCUAACUACGUG